UACGUAGGGGGCAAGCGUUGUCCGGAAUUAUUGGGCGUAAAGCGCGUGUAGGCGGUCUGUCGCGUCUGCUGUGAAAAUCCGGGGCUCAACCCCGGACUUGCAGUGGGUACGGGCAGACUAGAGUGUGGUAGGGGAGACUGGAAUUCCUGGUGUAGCGGUGAAAUGCGCAGAUAUCAGGAGGAACACCAAUGGCGAAGGCAGCUCGCUGGAACGGUACUGACGCUGAGGCGCGAAAGCGUGGGGAGCAAACAGG
rnacentral:rRNA from 1 species